rnacentral:misc_RNA from 1 species
CAGAGUUUGCAAACUCCCAACCAUUGUGAACCUACCUCACCGUCUGCUUCGGCGGGUGGCCCCGGGGCAACCCGGAGCCGCGCCGGCCCCCGCUCUCGGGGCCGGCAAACCCGUCAGAAGACCGAAACUCUUCGUCAUCAGUGGCCUCUCUGAGUAACUAUACAAUAAGUCA